rnacentral:rRNA from 1 species
UGGGGAAUAUUGGACAAUGGGCGCAAGCCUGAUCCAGCCAUGCCGCGUGAGUGAUGAAGGCCCUAGGGUUGUAAAGCUCUUUCACCGGUGAAGAUAAUGAUGGUAACCGGAGAAGAAGCCCCGGCUAACUUCGUGCCAGCAGCCGCGGUAAUACGAAGGGGGCUAGCGUUGUUCGGAUUUACUGGGCGUAAAGCGCACGUAGGCGGACUUUUAAGUCAGGGGUGAAAUCCCGGGGCUCAACCCCGGAACUGCCUUUGAUACUGGAAGUCUUGAGUACGGUAGAGGUGAGUGGAAUUCCGAGUGUAGAGGUGAAAUUCGUAGAUAUUCGGAGGAACACCAGUGGCGAAGGCGGCUCACUGGACCAUUACUGACGCUGAGGUGCGAAAGCGUGGGGAGCAAACAGG